rnacentral:rRNA from 1 species
AUGGCGUGGUGGAAGACGUGUGUCCCAAAAGACCAAGGAGGCAUGGGCUUCCGAGAUAUACAUUGUUUCAAUCUGGCUUUGCUAGCCAAACAGGCGUGACGUUUGCUUGAUAAUCCAGAAUCGUUAUGUGCUACAAUCUUGAGAGCAAAAUACUUCCCAGAUGGCGAUUUAAUGAAUGCAAAUCUAAAGAAGGGUUCCUCUUUUACCUGGCAAAGCAUUAUGGCAGGAGUUAAUUCCCUAAGGAAUGGUUACAUCUGGCGAGUUGGAAAUGGACAAAAGAUUGAUAUUUGGGAAGAUGCAUCGAUCCCGAAUUGUGCAAAUAGGAAAAUUAUUACUCCUAGAAGGAGGCAUCUUUUGUCAAUGGUUUCUAACCUUAUUGACCCAAUCAUGAAUUGUUGGGAUGAAGACUUGGUGAGACAAACGUUGUGGCCAAUUGACGCUCAAAGGGUGCUCGCGAUUCCCCUUCCGAUGCAUGAUAUGCCGGACUUCAUUGCUUGGAGUUACACAAAAAAAUGGCUUGUUCACUGUUAG